GUAGUUUGCCAACAUCUACCUUAGAUUUGUAUAUCAUUAGAUAAUCUUCAUUCAAAUCCCAACUUCUACGAAAUAAGGUGAACCCCAUGACGACGGAUUUUUCUGCGCAUCUGCAUAUGAAGUUCCUGUUUGAGAUAAGUUUUCAUGAGGUGUAUUACAUAUGCUUAUAAACAGUAUUAUAUCUGAUGUUCUGCUUUCUUGACUUCGUUGCAAGUUGAGUGAAUAGAUAUCGUGUUUGUCUACUCCAUCGUGGCACAAUAGGCCCCACCAACUACUUUUAAAGUCAAGACUCUUCGUUGAGAUUGACAAGAUUGCAAGGGUUGCACCACACAAUCCAAGGUAGGGAGAGAGAGCCAAGAUGUGUGAAGCUGUCCAUAAAACCAGGAAGAACUGUCACCAGAGAAUAAAACAGGUAGACAUAAAAAAAUUUCCAUUGCACGUAAAAUAAAAGUUGCCAGCUGGAAAGCUAGGUGUGCUGGAGGUAAUGAGUAUCGCUGGAGGGCCUAUAGAGAUAGCACCCCCUCGUUUUGGGACAAACUUGACAAGAAACCUUGACCGAGAUCCUUAAUCCAAAACAAAAUAGUGUUAUAAACAGCAAUCACCAAAACCUCCAAGAUACAAUAAAAACAUCGGCACACCUAUGGAAUGGCAACUUCGCUGCUUGUCAGCUGGAAACUGGUAUUUUGUUUUUGUAGUUUUUACAGCUUAGAGUUGUCGACCUUAUCUUUAUCACGAGCAUUUAUUUCAUCUGCAGAUGAAAUGUGUGUCUUGUUUUCAGUUGUUGUUGUGCAAACUGUGUUCACUGGAAUGCAAUUACUUAUCUAUCCAUCGUUUGUAUUGCCUGGCAUGAUAUCUCUUGCUUUUGUCUUGGUUGCUACUCUGUGAUUCUUUGUCUAUCGAUGUCUUGCCCAACACCAGAUAGUUGUUCUGUUACCGUUCUCUUCUACUUUGGUUUGUACCCUUAUUUAUAGAUUGAUCUUGCGGUCCUCCUGGUAAAUCCUAACAUCUUUCUCUGCUGUUUUGGAUUGUUUUUGUUCCAUUUCCUUUGUGAGAGUCCAUGUUUCACAGUUAUACGUCAUUAUUGGUAGUAUGCACAUGAAGUUUCCUUUUGUGACACAUUGGUAUCCUAAUGUCCCUUAGAAAGUAACUUUAUCGGCUUUACGUAUGCAUUUGCAAUUGCAUUUUAUGUUGAAUUUUUAUCCUCUGAUCUAGUUCUUUUCGAAGUACUUUUUUAUUCUUCUACCUUUUCAAUUUGUCCAGCCUUCUAUCGUC
rnacentral:lncRNA from 1 species